GAGUCAUCUCGGCACCUGUUGAUCGCCCAUUGGAAGGAGCCAACGGAUGGUCACAACGAUGGUUCCGGGAUUACCCGCGUGUGCGAGGUCGCACUCAAUGAAUUGUGAAGAAAAAUACGGAACCCGGCAGGGCCAACGAACCCUCGCUGGAUCAGUCCUUGGUGCUGACGUCCCAUGUGGCGUGACGAACGCCCGGACGCCGCGCAAGAUCGGCCGUGACCGCAUC
rnacentral:misc_RNA from 1 species